rnacentral:lncRNA from 10 species
AAAAAACUGGGGAUAGAAGGAACAUAACUCAACCUAAUAAAGGCCAUAAAUGACAGACCUACAGCUAGUGUCAUAUUGAAUGGGGAAAAACUAAAAGACUUUAUCUUUGCUUCUUGAACUCAGAAAGACUGCCAAACUGCUUUAGUUUAUCUUUCCAGAGCUACAGUUCAGAAGGUACCUCUGGGCAAAAGCUGAAAUAAAAGGAUAUUCUUAAUUGGAUUUCCUUUACUGGAGUGUGGUUCUGGGAGCAGCUAGAUGUGCUCUUUCCAAUUCAGAGCAAGAUGUAAGAUUCUCAUGACCCAGAGAAGCAGAAGAAGCCAUACAGUGAAGGCAAGAAUAAAAUAUGAAUCAACUAGACUCUUUUUGCUAAUAUAGGCAUAGUUAUAAAUUCCCUAAAUUCUAUUGAGUUUUAUCCUCUGGCUUUUCCCUUCAUAGAUCUUCUUACUUUUUGGGAGUACUAUAGCAUACUGGUUAGGAGCAUAAUUUUGGAAUCAAGGUGGCUGGAUUUAAAUCCUGGAUUCUCUGCAUACUCAGUCCAGCUUCAUAUAAUAUACUUAAACACGAGGUCUUUUAGGUUCCUCAUGUAGAAAGGGGAUAAUCAGAGUUUCUAUUUCAUAAAUGGAGUGUGGUGGAUGAUGAGGCAAUAUAUUUAAAGCAAUUGCUCUAACUCCAAACAUACACUAUGAUCCUCAAUCAUUGUUAAAGAUUAUAAUAACUAUGAAGUAGAUUCAUUCUUUGAUUGGAAGAAAGAGUAAAACACAGCACUUGUGUACCCAGGAGACCCUCACUUUUCUGCCCAAAAUUUCCCAGUGCAGAAGGGACUUCCUUCUUUCUGCCCUUCUUAUAUUACUAAGUCCCAUGUGAAUCAAGGGAAGUAGAUAGCUAUCAUCAAAUGAGUUCAUCUUGGCAGGCCUUUUGAAGCAUUCUGAAUAUUCAUUUCAGAAAAACAACAUGCCUCCUGAAUGGAUAAGUGAGAUUUGCAUGCCACUGCCUUUUAUUUUUCUAUUUCCCAAGAUGUGUUUCUUCCUCCCAGGGCCAGAGGCAUCCUGGACUUUACCAGUACUCUUUUUUCUCAUAAUGUGCUUGAUAUGGUUUGGCUCUGUGUCCCCACCCAAAUCUCAUGUUGAAUUAUAAUUCCCAAUGUUGGGGGAGAGACCUGAUGGAAUGUGACUGGAUCAUAGGAGCAGAUUUCCCCAUUGCUGUUCAUGUGAUAGUGAGUGAGUUCUCAUGAGAUCUGAUGGUUUAAAAGUGUGUGGCACUUCCCCAUUUACUGUCUCUAUUCUGCUGCCAUGUGAAGAAGAUGAUUGCUUCCCCUUCACCCUUCCAUCAUGAUUGUAGGCUCCUGAGGCCUCCCAGUCAUGCUUCCUGUUAAACCUGUGGAACCAUGAGUGAAUUAUACCUCUUUUCUUCAUAAAUUGCCCAGUAUCAGGUAGUUACAGCAGUGUGAGAAUGGACUAACACAGUACUGUAUUCAGUCACAGUCAGCACUAGGCCUUCAUCUAAACCCUCCAGCUUGGCCAAAGAGGUGAUAUUGGAUUGUUCACAAAUGGGGAACAAAAAGGAAAGCAAGAUCAGCAGGUGAUCCCACUAAAUUUGUGGAAAAUAUAGAAAUUAAUUGUGGUCAUGCUGCAUUUCUCUAUAAAGUAUUGAUGUUUAACAAAAACUUGAAUUAGAAAUCAGAUAUUUUCUCUGUUCCCUACUUCACUCUUCAUAUCUUAUCAACGGUGAAUGUUGACCACUGUCAGUUCAUAAAACUUUAAGAUAUAUGUUAUAUAUGACAGGUAUAUCAUAUAUAGAUAUAGUGAGCACCCUCCAACUUCCUAAAAUAGAAUUGAACUAAAGGAAGAAAAAAUGGAGAAUGAACCAGAGUCCUGGUAGAAAACAGAUGGCACACCUAAACAGGGUAAUUGCAGAUA